UACGUAGGGGGCGAGCGUUGUCCGGAAUCAUUGGGCGGAAAGCGCGUGUAGGCGGCUCGAUAAGUCCGGUGUGAAACCUUGGGGCUCAACCCCAAGCCUGCACUGGAUACUGUCGAGCUCGAGUCCGGGAGGGGAGAGCGGAAUUCCUAGUGUAGCGGUGAAAUGCGCAGAUAUUAGGAAGAACACCAGUGGCGAAGGCGGCUUACUGGUCCGGUUCUGACGCUGAGGCGCGAAAGCGUGGGGAGCAAACAGG
rnacentral:rRNA from 1 species